rnacentral:rRNA from 1 species
AUUAAACGCUGGCGGCAGGCUUAACAAAUGCAAGUCGAGCGAGCGGCGGACGUGUGAGUCAUGUCUGGGAAACUGCCUGCUGGAGGGGGAUACAUACUGGAAACGGUAGCUAAUACCGCAUACCCUCAGUUGUGCCCAGAUGGGAUUAGAUAGUAGGUGGGGUACUGGCUCUCCUAGGCGACGAUCCCUAGCUGGUCUGAGAUGAUGACCAGCCACACUGGAAGUGAGAUGCGUUCCCGACUCCUACGGGAGUCAGCAGUGGGGAACAGUGCACAAUGGGCGCAAUCCUGAUGCAGCCAUGCCGCGUGGGUGAAGAAGGCCUUCUGGUUGUAAGGCACUUUCAGCGAGGAGGCGUUACUCGCAGAAGAAGCACCGGCUAACUCCGUGCCAGCCGCCGCGGUAAUAC